GCGAACGGGUGAGUAACACGUGGGCAACCUGCCCUCAGCUCUGGGAUAACUCCAAGAAAUUGGGGCUAAUACCGGAUAUGACUGCUGACCGCAUGGUCUGGUGGUGGAAAGAUUUAUCGGCUGGGGAUGGGCCCGCGGCCUAUCAGCUUGUUGGUGGGGUAGUGGCCUACCAAGGCGACGACGGGUAGCCGGCCUGAGAGGGUGACCGGCCACACUGGGACUGAGACACGGCCCAGACUCCUACGGGAGGCAGCAGUGGGGAAUAUUGCGCAAUGGGCGAAAGCCUGACGCAGCGACGCCGCGUGGGGGAUGACGGCCUUCGGGUUGUAAACCUCUUUCAGCAGGGACGAAGCGGAAGUGACGGUACCUGCAGAAGAAGCACCGGCCAACUACGUGCCAGCAGCCGCGGUAAUACGUAGGGUGCAAGCGUUGUCCGGAAUUAUUGGGCGUAAAGAGCUCGUAGGCGGUUUGUUGCGUCGGCUGUGAAAACCUGAGGCUCAACCUCAGGCCUGCAGUCGAUACGAGCAGACUAGAGUGUUGCAGGGGAGACUGGAAUUCCUGGUGUAGCGGUGAAAUGCGCAGAUAUCAGGAGGAACACCGGUGGCGAAGGCGGGUCUCUGGGCAACAACUGACGCUGAGGA
rnacentral:rRNA from 1 species